rnacentral:rRNA from 6 species
CAACUUUCAGCAACGGAUCUCUUGGCUCUCGCAUCGAUGAAGAACGCAGCGAAAUGCGAUAAGUAAUGUGAAUUGCAGAAUUCAGUGAAUCAUCGAAUCUUUGAACGCACCUUGCGCCCUUUGGCUAUUCCGAAGGGCAUGCCUGUUUGAGUAUCAUGA